rnacentral:misc_RNA from 1 species
GAUGAAGAACGCAGCGAAAUGCGAUAAGUAAUGUGAAUUGCAGAAUUCAGUGAAUCAUCGAAUCUUUGAACGCACCUUGCACCCUUUGGCAUUCCGAAGGGUAUGCUCGUUUGAGUGUCAUUGUACUCUCACUCUCCCGAUGCUUUUGGAUCGGGAGUGGUGGACUUGGGUGUUGCUGCUUUGCUGUGGCUCGCCUCAAAUGGAGUAGUGCAACUCUUGGUUGGACAUAGUACGGCGUGAUAAGUGUCUUCGCCGGCGCCUCAUUAUAGAGGGUGGACGAUCGGGAGCUCUGUGCUUCAAACCGUCUUCGGACAACAUCUGACAACUUGACCUCAAAUCGAGUAGGACUACCCGCUGAACUUAAGCAUAUCAAUAAGCGGAGGA